rnacentral:rRNA from 1 species
UGAGGCGCGCCGAGUUUGAUCCUGGCUCAGAACGAACGCUGGCGGCAGGCCUAACACAUGCAAGUCGAGCGCACCUUCGGGUGAGCGGCGGACGGGUGAGUAACGCGUGGGAAUAUGCCCUUCUCUACGGAAUAGCCUCGGGAAACUGAGAGUAAUACCGUAUACGCCCUUCGGGGGAAAGAUUUAUCGGAGAAGGAUUAGCCCGCGUUGGAUUAGGUAGUUGGUGGGGUAAUGGCCUACCAAGCCUACGAUCCAUAGCUGGUUUGAGAGGAUGAUCAGCCACACUGGGACUGAGACACGGCCCAGACUCCUACGGGAGGCAGCAGUGGGGAAUAUUGCACAAUGGACGCAAGUCUGAUGCAGCAACGCCGCGUGGAGGAUGACACAUUUCGGUGCGUAAACUCCUUUUAAGAGGGAAGAUAAUGACGGUACCUCUUG